AAGCUGAAUUGCACAAAGAAUUGCACAAAUUCCGACAUGGUGGAAUAUAGAAAAGCAACUAACUAUUCGAAAAAAGAUUAGUGGAUUUGUGGCUAAGAAGAGUCGUCGUGGAAGUCGAACAAGUAUGUAGUUGUAGCAAAGUAUUAAUUACAUGAAAUUUCAGCCAUAAUUGAAUAGGACCCAUGCCAAAAACCUUUAUUAAUAGUAACACAGUAUCAGAAAUAGAAUCUAACGUACUAGUGGGACUGGAAAACGUGGGAUCAGAAACGACGUAUUAAUGAUGUCAUGGAUUAGAAAGGUUGCAGAAGAAUAAAAGAAGUGGAAGAAAUUCAACGUGAGAAAAGGAUCAGCUGAAGUUAACGGAUGUUACUCUAUUUGACGACAUUCGAAGAAAAUUCUAUACGAAUUCUAUUUGAAACCGAGAUGGAACAGAAGAAUUCUAUUUACAUUAUGUGAACAGAGUUUGAGAAAGACGUUCAAUGACAAAGUUUUUUGAAGAUUUUGGGAUCUUUCACUGAGAGGGAACACUACCUGAUGCGGAACGUAAGCAUUGCAUCCUAGAACUGGCAUACUUGAAAUCGUAAUCAAUAGAUUUGAGAAGACAGAUAAAGAAGAACAAGGCAAUUUAUG